rnacentral:rRNA from 1 species
CAGCCGCCGCGGUAAUACAGAGGGUGCGAGCGUUAAUCGGAUUUACUGGGCGUAAAGCGUGCGUAGGCGGCUUCUUAAGUCGGAUGUGAAAUCCCUGAGCUUAACUUAGGAAUUGCAUUCGAUACUGGGAAGCUAGAGUAUGGGAGAGGAUGGUAAAAUUCCAGGUGUAGCGGUGAAAUGCGUAGAGAUCUGGAGGAAUACCGAUGGCGAAGGCAGCCAUCUGGCCUAAUACUGACGCUGAGGUACGAAAGCAUGGGGAGCAAACAGGAUUAGAUACCCCGGUAGUCCCUGUCUCUUAUAC